AUGAAACCACUGAUUCAACAUAAACAGUAUCCUCCCUUCAUCCAAUCUCACAACCUCUUCCCUUCCGCGAAGUUCUCCACAAACCAUCAAAUCCCUCCUUUAUCAAAUAGUCGCACAUCUAACAUCAUGACCUCCGUCAACAACCAGCGGCCAUCCAUUAGAAACAGUGUUACUCCCUAUGCCUCUCAUCCAAACGCAACUUCAUCAUAA